UAUUCUCAGCUUCUCUCUUCCAGUCUUCCCAGCCUCCUCUACCGUCAAAACUCAAAACACCUUCUUCCCAUCGAUCGAUCUCUCCUGUGUCUUCAAAACCCGAUUCCGUCGCUCCUCCACCACACGCCCCAAACCCAAAGCAUUCCCGGACCUUCUUCAACCUCCUUUCGUACUUGGUAAGCUCCUCAUCAGAACCACUCUCCACAUCUUCCUUCUUUUUCCUCCUCCCAGCAUAUAUUAUCCCAUUCGAAGUUCAUUCUUUUUCCCGGAUCUGUUCUAGUCAUACAAUCUGGCAAAAACCCCACUGACAUGAGCAGCGGAGGGAACCGAGUAACCAUCAAUUUCGCCUAAUCACAUCUUCGCAAGCCUACGAAGAACCACUGUAUCACCGCCUCUCUCUCUCUCUCUCUCUCUCUCUCUCAAACCCAGCAGCAAAUUGAGUCGAAAGUUUGUGUCUUCCGCGAAUCAAACUCACUAUCAAGUAGCAACAGAUCGAAACAACUAGCUUGUUAUUGUUUGGUCAAUUUGUGGUAUUUUGGGUACCAAAUUUCCACACACAGAGACGGGAUUGUUUAUGCUCAUGCAUAUACAUAUGAGUAUCAGUAUAAUAUGCUUUUUGGUCUAGCUGCAAAAAUGGCUAAAGAGCCAUUAAGACUUCUGGUUAUGGAUUCGGUGAUUUCUCUCUUUCGAGUGGAUGUUACUGGAAGAGGAGAACUUGGAGAUCGCCAGCAAAAACUUGCACAUAUGCUUUCCCUUUUAAUAAAGAUUGCUGAGGAAUUCAAUGUUGCUGUCUACAUGACAAACUACACAACUUCUUAUUAACAGCUGACAAAUUUUUUGGGCUGCAAUCUAUUGCUACAAGGUCGAGACCCAAAGACACCAUCCUCGUCGUGAUGAGGAUGGUAAUAUUGAUGAAAAUGAGCAAGAGAAGGAUACAAAUUUGUGUAUUAGGAAUUUCACAUUUCACAUUUCACAUUUUGGAUGUAAAUUAAUGUCUGAUACUUGGAAACAUAUUUUGCUUAUCUAUGAAUAUUCUCAGUUUGUACUUUGAAAUGCAAUAUAUGAUAUUUCAAUUGAAAUA